rnacentral:lncRNA from 1 species
AGAAACGCAGCGGGGAGAGGGGGUGGAAGGCAUCGAAGCAGGCAGCCUUGCAGCCCGGCUGCUGGGUGUGACACACGAAUUCACUCUGCUCAUCACCAUAGACUCCAGGCCCACUGGCAGCCAGCAGCACAAGGCGGAAUCCCAGGAGCACGGGAAGCAAGAGGCGCCCCACGGGGGUGGAGCGCCGGCUCUCCUCCGCCAGCAGCCGCCGCAGGAACCUGCCACACAUCCUGUUUUGGAGCAGAGGACAAGAGAUCAGUGUUGUUCACUGUCCUUCAGAGGGAGCUCCAGUCCACCUUGUCACUCCUAAUCCAAGGAUCACUGAAGACAAGACCAGCCUCCUCCCACAGCCAUACGUUGACAACACGUGCCAAGGCCUGGGGCAACAGGGUACCCAGGGUGAAGGGCUCACCCAAGAGUAGGGAGCGAAGAGAAAUGUGGAAGCUCAGCACCUCUGUGCCCCAAGAACGAUGAUGAAGUGGCGUCAUUUGUCUGGAGUAAUACCCAAGAUUCAUUGCCUCACGCCAAGGAAAUCAAGAAGGUGGAGACGCACAAGGAGGAGUUUAAGAUUGGAGGUUUAAUAGGCAAAAGAAAGAGAAAAAAGAAAAGCUCUCUCUCCUGCAGAGAGAGAGGGACUUCCGAGUGGGUCUUCCGGUUUUGUGGUGAAAUGCACGGGGGGGGGGUUUUAUAGACAAGCUUGAGGAGGCAGUGUCUGAUUUACAUAGGGCCCGAGAGAUUAGUCAGACCAGGUGUGCCAUUUGCAUAGCGCACCAACAAGUUGGCCAUCUCACCUUAACCUUUUAUUAUGCAGAUGGGGUCUCUACUUGGCCAUCACCACGUUGCCUGCUUUUUUACUGCAAGCGUGUUGACAAAGGAAAGGGAAGAGGGCACCUCCAUGUUGAAUAUACCUGGCUUCCAGGUGUCCCUUUUCUAUUGGCACAGCUGUUGGCAUUUACCUAUGCAAGCUUUUAGCUUGCUUAUCUAUGCUUGCAGCUUAAUUUUUCAGGCUGCUUAUUGUUAGAAAAGAAAUUAUUUGGGGGCUGCUUUUCAUUAAAGGGAAAUCUUACCACGGACUCUCUUACCCUCACUAUCUGCCUAAAUAAUUUUUUUCUAGCUCCUGUAUCAAUGACAGAAGGGAUCUUUCUUCUCCCUCCCUCUUUUCCACACCUGGGUGCAUCUACCUGGUUUGGGGGAGGGUGAGCGACACAAGGAACAAAGGUUGAGAAGGAAUCAGCAGAAGAAAAGGCUCAGAACUGAAAACAAAGCAUCUUCCACAGAGUCAAAUAUAACAGCACAGGGCCUAGGAUACUGUGUGACCUAGAGAAAAGGGAGCAAAGCCAGCCUUGGGCCCAUCUUUCCGCAGAAAUCUGGAAGAAACAAAACUAUAAACUGGUGAGGUCUUAAGAGUGCACAGGUUUUAAAUCUGUAAUAUUGACCAACAGUCAGCAAAUACAUUUCUUUCUCACCAGUAUGGCAAUGAUUCAACUGAGCAACAAGUUGAAAUCAAAGAACUGGUGGUACGGAGGCAGCAUCCUGGUUUUAUUCCAUGCUCAUCCCUUCCUGUUCAUGCCUGGAUUUUUUUAACUCUUUUUCUUUUUCUUUGUGAAACAGGGUCUCACUUUAUCAUCCAGGCUGGAGUGCAGUAGCACGAUCUUAGGUCACUGCAACCUCAACCUCCAGGCUCAAGUGAUCCUCCCACCUCAGCCUCCUGAGUAGCUGGGACAACAGGUGUACACCACCAUGCUUGGCUAAUUUUUUUUGUUUUUUUGUGUGGUUUUUUUUUGUUUGUUUGUUUGUUUUGAGACGGAGUCUAGCUCUGUCACCCAGGCUGGAGUCCAGUGGCGUGAUCUCAGCUCACUGCAAGCUCCGCUCCCAGGUUGACGUCAUUCUCCUGCCUCAGCCUCCCGA